UUAUCAAUCACCUGGGGAUCUUUUUAAAGCAUAGAUUCUAAUCAAGUAGGCUGAGGUGAGUCCAAGACUCCAUAUUUCCAAUAGGCUCCCAGGUAAUGCAGAU
rnacentral:pre_miRNA from 1 species